UCAGCAUGGAGCAGAGCGCCAAAGUCAACUCGUGGAACAUUCCUGCGACGCUUAAAAUGAGAAAUAGGGACGUGUUUUGGUUUUUCAGUAAUCCAAAAACGAUCGAGGAGGAAACGUGACGAACACCCCAAAAAAAUGUAUUUGCUACAAGUCAGCACGACAGCUAAAAGGUUGGUGAACACAAGCUACGAAAUUCCAUCACGGACAUUUUGCAGCAUAACACAACUGAGAGUUGGACGUCACAAACAACGUAACCACCACUGGUGCAAAUUUCCAACUCGGACGAGGCGGGCAUGAGAAGUGAAAGCCAAGUUAUCUUGAUUUAGGAUGAAUAAUAUCCCCAUUCAUCUCUUCAUAAAUACCUGGACCCAUUUUGUGGCAUUAUUGAUUUCUCUUAUUUAUUUAUUUAUUUAUUUAUUUCUUGCCUGUCGUCGUCUUUGUGACGGACGAGCCUUUCACGCACGAACGCGUCUCGGGAUUCAGCGUUCCAGCCGAUAAUUUGUCUCUCCGAGCCUGCGCUCAACUGAUGAGCUCGACUUUUUUUUUUUUGUUUGUUUCUUUUGGGGGGUUUGUUUUAAAUCUGCAUUUAUUUAUUCAACCUGUCGCGAAUGACAAUGACGCUGCCCACGGAGCCCGCGUGAGUCACGCCGUCCCAUAAUGCACUUCUCCGCAACAGACGGCCCGGGAUGACUCAUCCCGAAGGCCUUGGAGAGAGAAAGAGGAAGAAAGUUCUCGGAAUAAUCAACUUCUUCUGAUUAUUGAUGCUCAGAGGUUGCAAAAGUAUUCACACU